GUCAGCAUGGUGUAGUGGUUUGAGCAUUGGACUAUGACUCUGGAAAUCAGGGUUCGAAUCCCUGCUUGGCCA